GGGAAAACACUCGGUGCUGUUGACCACCUCUUCCCCUCCCACCAUUGGGGGAAGAAGCUCUGCCGAGCAAGGGGGGGGAAAGAGAGAAUGGAAAGGAUGAAGAAGCAAAGCUCAGGUGUUCAGCAUGCGGAAAAUUUUGCUUGCGGGUGACGAGCAGGAUUUCCUUCUCGGCCAGUCAGUCGCCAGUAGGCUGGCUUCAGUAGAGUACUCGAGGUCAAAUCUGAAAUGGAUGGAUGAAAGUAGAAUUGCCCGGAGCCGGACGGAAUUUCACCAACGGAGUUCACAAGUUCAGCUUGUUUGUCUGGAGCUGGAAU